CCUAAACCUAAUAAUCUCCCCGUCCCUCUACACACCCCUACAGCCCCGUAAAUCCCAUUUCUCAUAGGUUUCAAUCUGCUAUUUUCGUUCCAUAAGUUUCCCCACGAAAUCUUUACCACAAUUACGAACCAUCUAGGUUAUAAAAGUCAAAAAUCACUUACCAAUUUUGUGCGAACAAUCGAAUUACCCCUUCAUUUUUUACUUUCUCGUUUUUCUGUUUGUCUUGCAAGAACAAUCAAACAAUGGUGCGAACGGUAAAGAAAGAAUUGAUGGACAAUCGAGCACCAGAAUGCAGAGUGCUACGGUCGAAAUACCUCACCUUUAAGAAUCGGAUUAGCGGUAAUUUGAUUUCCCAUCAUUUUAGUAAUUUCUUUGUUUUUUAUUUUUUUUUUGUUUUUUUUGUUUUUUGUAUUUCAAUUUUGAGUUAUUUAUUCAUUUAUUUUUCAUAUUCGGGCCAUUAAUGUCUAUGUUUUUUUUUCAUAUUUGUUUAGUUUGAUUAAUUCGUAUUAAGUGAAGAGAUUAAUGAAAGCGCUCAUUGCAAAAAUCUCUAUACUUCGUUCUGCUUUGUCUUCAUAUACUGGAAAAAAUUGGGUGUUUUAAUCUUUAAUUUAAUUUUCUUCCAAAAUGGGUGCUUCUGAGAAGUGGAUAAAAUUACUCAGUGGUCUGAAAAAUCCGGGAUCAAAUGACUCUGUAAGCUAAUAAUUUUUGUAUUAUUUUUAUAUGAUUUUUUUUUUUUUUUUUUUAUUUUUUUUUUUUUUUUUUUUUUUAUGUUUUAUGCAAUGAUUUUUAUAUUGAAUUGUGUUGAGCCUAAUAAUCUUUGUAUUAUCUUUAUAUGAUUUUUUUGGUGUUUAAUGCAAUGAUUUUUAUAUUGAACUAUGUUGAGCUUAAUUCAUAUGUAAUGGUGUGUUUGGUUGGGCUUAAUAGUUGUUGUUGACUUCGUAUUGCCUUUUUGGUUUAAUGAUUGUUAUUGUUGUUUCAUCCACGAGUUGCUAGCCGAAAAUGCCCACUUGGUUUGUGCUAGAAUGAUAGGGUUAGUCCCGAAACAAGCACAAUCCACCCAUGGGCCGAGUCCCAAUGGUCAAGCUGACAAUAUCACUGUUUAGCCCGUGCUCGCAAAAUUCCGGGAUCCGCCCCUAACCACGACCACUCACAUGAACAACCAUCACCACUACCCGCAUCGCAUCAACAACCAUCAAUACCACAGAAAGCAAGAUAAAGAGAAAACAGAGGUUGACUAGAAUAAACCCAUCAACGAUGAUGGGCGCUGCUGCACGCUGCUCUUGUCACCUGCAUAUUCGGUGAAGAGCCAUCGGAGAUCAAGGAAAAAGUUAGCUAUACAUGGAAGUGUUCAUUGCGUCUGUGAAGACAACCAUGAUUUUAGAGAGAGAAAUGAGAGACUGAAUGGAAAAUGAAUUAUGUUACGGUGUGGUUUCUGAUAUUUGGGAAAAGGGAAAAAAACUUAUAAAUCUUAAUUUUGAAAUGAAUGUUUAAAACUCUGGUAGGCUGUAAUUUUCGUUAAAAUUUUCUCUAUUUUAAAAAGUUAGCUCUUAAAAUUAUAGUUUAAGACACACUUAAAAUUAACAUUCUAAAAUAAAGAGCCGUUUUGUUAACUUUUCAUAUUUUGUGUGAGGCUCAGUUUUGUGUACAACGGCUAGAAUUUUCAUUGUAAUGAAACAAAUAAUGUACCCCAAACAAG
rnacentral:lncRNA from 1 species